CGCAACCGGUUGACGGUCGCUAUGGUUCGCCAUAGAGGAAAGUCCAGACACCGCAGAGUAGGAUGCCCUUUUGCAAAGAAGGAUACUGUGUCCCAUAAAGUCACAGGAAGGAAAGUGCCACAGAAAUGAUACCGCCUCACUUGUGAGGUAAGGGUGAAAUGGUGAAGUAAGAGCUCACCGUGCUUUUAGCGAGAGCGGAGCAGCAUGGCAAACCCCAUCCGGUGCAAGAUCAAAUAGGGAACAAAGAUGCGACUCGUAUCGUUUUUCUUCGUGAAAUAUAGUUCCGGGUUCUGAUCGCAUAGUCAAAUGACCGUCCAUUUGCGAUUUUCGCAAAAGACAGGAUCUGGCUUACAGCCGGUUGCGCUUU
rnacentral:RNase_P_RNA from 2 species